rnacentral:sRNA from 1 species
UUGAAAUAAUGAGGCUAAAAGCAACUUAAAUGUCCAAUGAAAGGAGACUGAUAAAAUAAAUUUUGUUAUAUCCAUACAAAGGAAUACUAUGUAAUCAUUAAGUAGAUGUGUGUGUGUGUGUGUGUGUACUCAUACUUAAA